UCGCCGACCUGCUGCCGCUCCCCGUCGCCACUGGUGAGCGCUCCGCUCCUCUCUCCCUCUUUCUUCCCUCUUCGCCGCCGCUGCCGACCUCCCCGUGCAAUCGGUAAGUGCCGGUCGCCGUCCGCCGCGUCGCCCCCUUGUCGCCUUCUCAUCGUCGUCGUCACGCCGUUGUUGCCGUGCCGUUCGCCAUCGUCACCGUGCGCCACUGCUCCGGUUGCGCCGCCGCUCCGGUCGCGUCCGCCGCUCAGCCCCCAAGCU
rnacentral:lncRNA from 1 species